CCAUCACCAGCGAGGUCACAGUGGCCACAUGCGAUGCAUCACAAAGGGCUGCUCUAGGGAAAGAUGCCAGCACUUAAAACCUAAGAGUUUUUGGCAGAUCAGGAAGACCAAUGUGUUGGGGUUUUUUCAUCUGUAUUUCUUCUCUGUACAUAUUUUAGCAGUCACACUUGAGGCAUGGCUUAAAUUUUUAAUGAGUAGGAGUUAGUGUUGGAUCUCAAUAACACUGACUUCAGGAUUAAGGCAAAAUGGCUCAUUACAAUGAAGCAUUGUGGGGAAGAAGUUUCUUUAAAAGAAAAAGGUGAAGAAAGGAGAUGACUGAAUAGAAGGAAAGUAGAUAGCAGAAGACUGCCAAAAACAGCAAGUCACAAAAACAUAUUGGAUUUACAGACAGUUUUGGAAAUAUUGCUCUGGUGUUACUGCCAUCUGGACAGGAAUUGUUCCACCUGCCAAGGGCCAGAUCUGGAAGGGAUUUUGUGUUACUUCUUCCCAGAUUAAUGGUGCUAGGGAAAAAAAAAGAGCUACAGGAAGUGAAAAAUUACUCGGAGACUUUUUCCUGAUUCCACAAUCACCAAGGAGUCAAAGGUGGUUUAGGUUGUUUUGAAACUUGUUUCUGCCUAAUUUGCCAUAUCUCCCAGCCAUGUGGAAAGGCCAUAUUUGCCAUACUGGUUUCUUACAACUAUUUGAAGAAACCUGGAAAACCACUGGGUGUUUGUUUAUAUAUUUGCUAAUCUGUUGUUUAAUGACAUUAAUGCAUAUGGGGGGGGGCAUGUAAAACACAGUAAAAAUACUUAAAUAAUUUAAAAACAUGACAUGAAUAAUUUUUUUCUUAAAUUCCCCAUGCAACUGGAAUGAGGAGAACUUAAUUAAGCUAAGUAUUGUCUCUAUUAAAAAUGAAAUCCAGAUCAAGACAUUUAUUACAGUAAGCACAAUUAAAACUGCUACAGCUCAGCAAAUUAUAGAGGAAUAAACACAUUUUGAUAAAUUCACUUUCAUGUUAUGCAAAAAGCAUUUCUUCUUCUACACUGAAGAUUAAGCUUUUCUAUAA